rnacentral:rRNA from 1 species
CAAUUCAAUGUAGUUUGAUUAUGGAGAUAUUUAUUAUGAUUUUGUGAGGGUAAGGAGGAAUAGUUAAGAAAGUAUUUUUUUGUUGGUGUAUAAAGAUAGAUUGAAUUAAUUUAAUUAUAGUGAAUGAGUAUUGUAAAAGAUUAUGAAGAUAUUAAUUAGGAUGUGGGGAAGUAGAUUUGAAUAAUUGUACCUUGUGUAUCAGGUUUAAUUAAGAAUAAGGUAUUUAUUAUAUCAUUCUCGAUGUUUAAGGAGUUAAUUAAAUAGAUAGUUAUUAUGAUAAAUUUAUUUAUAAUAUUUAGUUGGUAAUGAAAUAUUAGUCGUUUUGGGGGAUAUCUAGUUGUUUGGGAAAUGAAUAUAAUUCAUAUUUAAGGUUUAAUGAUUUAAGUUUUAAUAGAAUUUAACUUUAGGUAAAUAUUUUAAGGGAUUAGCUUUAAUAAUAUAUUUUUAUAAAAAAGGAAAUUAAUGAGAAUUUGAUGGGUUUAAUAUUAAAUUAUUUAUUGAAUAAUGUAAAAGUUUUAUUUUUAUUAUAUUUAGAUUUAUAGGUUUUUAAGUUGGUUACUGAGAUUGAAUUAGGAAAUUUUAUUUUAAUUGUAAUAAUGAUUAAAUUAGUAAAUUAUUAAUAUAGUUGUAGGGUAAGAAGUGAUGUUAGAUGAUAAAGAAUUAGGCAAGAAGGGUGAAUUCGCUUGUUUAUCAAAAACAUCUUUUCUUAGUAAAAAAUAGGAAAUACAACCUGCCCACUGAGAAAGUUAAAGGGCCGCGGUAAUUUGACCGUGCAAAGGUAGCAUAAUCAUUAGUUUUUUAAUUGAAGGCUGGAAUGAAUGGUUAGACGAGAUUUGGACUAUUUAUAUUAAAUUAUUUAUUGAAUUUAAUUUUUGAGUUAAAAAGCUUAAAUAAUAAUAUGGGACGAGAAGACCCUAUAGAAUUUAAUAUUUUAUAAUUAUUUUUGGUUUGUUAAGGUAAAUUAAUUAUGAAAUAUUUUGUUGGGGUGAUGGAAAAAUAAAAAUAACUUUUUUUAGUUGAAAUAUUAAUUAAUAGAUUUAUGAUGUAUGAAUUAGUAAUAUAAGAGAAAUUACCUUAGGGAUAACAGCGUAAUUUUCUUUAAGAGUUCUUAUUAACAAGAAAGAUUACGACCUCGAUGUUGGAUUAGGAUAUAGUUUGGGUGAAGAAGCUGAAAUAUUUAGUCUGUUCGACUAUUAAAAUCCUACAUGAUCUGAGUUCAGACCGGCGUGAGCCAGGUUGGUUUCUAUCUAUAUUUAUAUAGGAUAUUUUAGUACGAAAGGACCAGAUAUUUGAAAUAAUUUUUAAUAGGAAAAUGAUUAGUAUUACUGUUUUGGCAGAUAAGUGCAGUAAAUUUAGAAUUUAUAAAUAUAAAUGAAUUAUUA